rnacentral:rRNA from 1 species
AACGAACGCUGGCGGCAUGCCUAACACAUGCAAGUCGAACGAGACCUUCGGGUCUAGUGGCGCACGGGUGCGUAACGCGUGGGAAUCUGCCCUUUGCUUCGGAAUAACAGCGAGAAAUUGCUGCUAAUACCGGAUGAUGUCUUCGGACCAAAGAUUUAUCGGCAAAGGAUGAGCCCGCGUAGGAUUAGGUAGUUGGUGGGGUAAUGGCCUACCAAGCCGACGAUCCUUAGCUGGUCUGAGAGGAUGAUCAGCCACACUGGGACUGAGACACAGCCCAGACUCCUACGGGAGGCAGCAGUGGGGAAUAUUGGACAAUGGGCGAAAGCCUGAUCCAGCAAUGCCGCGUGAGUGAUGAAGGCCUUAGGGUUGUAAAGCUCUUUUACCCGGGAUGAUAAUGACAGUACCGGGAGAAUAAGCUCCGGCUAACUCCGUGCCAGCAGCCGCCGUAAUAC